rnacentral:rRNA from 1 species
GACGAACGCUGGCGGCGUGCUUAACACAUGCAAGUCGAACGGAAAGGCCCUGCUUGCCGGGUGCUCGAGUGGCGAACGGGUGAGUAACACGUGGGUGAUCUGCCCCUUACUUUGGGAUAAGCCUGGGAAACUGGGUCUAAUACUGGAUAGGACCAUGCUGUAGGUGGUGUGGUGGAAAGAUUAGUUUCGGUAAGGGAUGAGCUCGCGGCCUAUCAGCUUGUUGGUGGGGUAAUGGCCUACCAAGGCGUCGACGGGUAGCCGGCCUGAGAGGGUGGACGGCCACAUUGGGACUGAGAUACGGCCCAGACUCCUACGGGAGGCAGCAGUGGGGAAUAUUGCACAAUGGGCGCAAGCCUGAUGCAGCGACGCCGCGUGGGGGAUGACGGCCUUCGGGUUGUAAACUCCUUUCAGCCAUGACGAAGCCCUUGUGGUGACGGUAGUUGUAGAAGAAGCACCGGCUAACUACGUG